rnacentral:rRNA from 1 species
CAACAAGGAUUCCCCUAGUAACGGCGAGUGAAGCGGGAACAGCUCAAAUUUGGAAUCUGGCGGAUUGCAUCCGUCCGAAUUGUAAUUUCAAGAGGCAUCUUCGGGUUCGGCUCAGGUAAAAGUCCGUUGGAAUACGGCAUCAUAGAGGGUGAGAAUCCCGUCCAUGACCUGGGUCCCGUUCCUAUGUGAAGUGUCUUCAAAGAGUCGAGUUGUUUGGGAAUGCAGCUCUAAAUGGGUGGUAAAUUCCAUCUAAAGCUAAAUAUUGGUGGGAGACCGAUAGCGAACAAGUAGUGUGAACGAAAGAUGAAAAGAACUUUGAAAAGAGAGUUAAACAGUACGUGAAAUUGUUGAAAGGGAAGCGCUUGGGACCAGAGCGCUGCUUUUCAGGAUCAGCAGAGCUUCAAGUUCUGUGCACUCUUGGAUUGCAGGGCCAGCAUCGGUUUGAACGGUUGUAUAAAGGCUUGAGGAAGGUGGCUUUAUCUUCGGAUGGAGUGUUAUAGACUCUUGUGCAAUGCAACCAGUUUGGACCGAGGACUGCAGCUUUAUUGCUUAAGGAUGCUGGCGUAAU